AUUGAACGCUGGCGGCAUGCUUUACACAUGCAAGUCGAACGGUAACAGGCCGCAAGGUGCUGACGAGUGGCGAACGGGUGAGUAAUGCAUCAGAACGUGCCCAGUCGUGGGGGAUAACGCAGCGAAAGCUGUGCUAAUACCGCAUACGAUCUGUGGAUGAAAGCGGGGGACCGUAAGGCCUCGCGCGAUUGGAGCGGCCGAUGUCAGAUUAGGUAGUUGGUGGGGUAAAGGCUCACCAAGCCGACGAUCUGUAGCUGGUCUGAGAGGACGACCAGCCACACUGGGACUGAGACACGGCCCAGACUCCUACGGGAGGCAGCAGUGGGGAAUUUUGGACAAUGGGCGCAAGCCUGAUCCAGCAAUGCCGCGUGCAGGAAGAAGGCCUUCGGGUUGUAAACUGCUUUUGUACGGAGCGAAAAGGCUCUCUCUAAUACAGGGGGCUCAUGACGGUACCGUAAGAAUAAGCACCGGCUAACUACGUGCCAGCAGCCGCGGUAAGAC
rnacentral:rRNA from 1 species